AUGCAGGAAAAUGAGUUUAAGGGCAAUCCUCGACUUGGAACAACUGGGAGAAAAUAUGAUGUAUAUUACUCAGAUUUGGAUCCUCUCACGUGAUAUGAUCGUCAUGUGAACAGAAAAAUAGAUGCAUUCAUAGCAGAGAAGGUACGAUAUUUUAUUUAUUUUUCUCCACACAGCACGUCGUCAUCAUGUUACUAUGGGAGGAUCCAAAUCGCAUUGGUCAGUAGUUUGGUAGUUUUAUGAUGAAAGAUGGUUUUAGUUUCUACGGCGGAAGGCAUCUGUAAGUAGUCUGUGAUUGCUUUACAUAGAGAUUGCUGAAUUGCAACAUAUUUAACACUUUUAAGUUGUAUAUAUAUUUCAUUUCAUUUAUAGUUUC